GAUGAACGCUGGCGGCGUGCCUAAUACAUGCAAGUCGAGCGAACAGACGAGGAGCUUGCUCCUCUGACGUUAGCGGCGGACGGGUGAGUAACACGUGGGUAACCUACCUAUAAGACUGGGAUAACUUCGGGAAACCGGAGCUAAUACCGGAUAAUAUAUUGAACCGCAUGGUUCUAUAGUGAAAGAUGGUUUUGCUGUCACUUAUAGAUGGAUCCGCGCCGCAUUAGCUAGUUGGUAAGGUAACGGCUUACCAAGGCAACGAUGCGUAGCCGACCUGAGAGGGUGAUCGGCCACACUGGAACUGAGACACGGUCCAGACUCCUACGGGAGGCAGCAGUAGGGAAUCUUCCGCAAUGGGCGAAAGCCUGACGGAGCAACGCCGCGUGAGUGAUGAAGGUCUUCGGAUCGUAAAACUCUGUUAUUAGGGAAGAACAAAUGUGUAAGUAACUAUGCACGUCUUGACGGUACCUAAUCAGAAAGCCACGGCUAACUACGUG
rnacentral:rRNA from 1 species